GCAUUUGUAGCCUCAUGAGGAUGAGAACCUCCGGGGGCAGGGAGGUUCGACUCGAGCGAAGCGAGAGAACGUUGCGCCAGCAACGGCCCGCAGGGCGAGCCACGAAGUGGCGAGUAAUCCUCUAUCACCGACCA
rnacentral:sRNA from 3 species